CUCCACUUUUCAACUUUUAAGAGCAUAUUUCAGGACUCUCAAAACUUAUAUUAUAUCAUUUAUCUGAAGGUCACACUCUAAAAUACGAUAAGAAAUUUUAGUGCCCAUCAUGGGCCUAUAAAAUGUUUCCCCACCUUCAUCUACCAAUGGUCAUAACCUGAAGCCAAGCCCAACACUCCUACAAAAUGGAAUCCAACCCAGGGAUGACCCUCCAACAACAAAUGCAAGCACUUAUCUAGUAGAACGAACAAUGCAAACAUUACGAUGUCGAGUUUGAAAACCUAUGCUCCCAACGAUAGGUCGACCUUAGCGAACUCUAAGACACUCGACAAAAACUUGACCGACUUAGAAAAUGAGAAAUCACCUUCCCUACAUCGGCCUAAUUCCCAUAAGGAUGUCCCCCGUAAUUUCCGAAUAAAGCACAACCCGCUAGCCAAACAAGGUUUUCAUGAAAGUCAAAGCCUAUCUUCUCAACGUCGGGCUCGAAAGAAGUAUUGCCCACCAACUCGGCGACGUUCGCAUGGAACUCGAAACUGAUCUCCUUAAUGCCGAGCUUGAAGGGACCGGAGGAGAAGGUCAACCUGACACAAAAUGAGAGAAAUUCGGGGACAACCCUGCCACUCCGAACCCCAGACUUGGAAUCGGUGGAGUCCUAAGAUUCCACAAGACACCCUGGUGGGUGAGUAGACCGAGAAGGCCGUUAAGCUUCCCAAAAGCAUGAUCGGGACUUCCGAAUCAAGACUGACCAUGUGGAAAAUUUUCACCCUUUCACGACGAAAGUGGAUUAGGCACACAUCACUAGAGGAGCCGACUCGGCCACACAUCUAAAAGAAUUUUGGAUUUAGGUCAAUAUCCAUACAGAAGAUGAUAAUGCUUUUUGCAGGUUAUUUCUAACUACCCUAGAUGGAUUGACGUUAGAUUGGGACUAUAUGCUAUACCAUUGUACUCGAUGGAUUUAUUUGAAGCUUUGAGUAUCAUGCUUAGAACUCAGUCUGCAUAUGUAAGGUGAUGACCACCUCGUUGGUAGCCCAAAAAUGCACAAAGUAGGAGGAAAACGAAAUCCUUCAACAUUUAACGGAAAUAUUCACCAUGACAACGAAAAUAAUCCCAGACCUUACUUUAUCAAUGAUAUUGCAUUCGUUUAGGAAAGGGUCGAGGAUAGUCGGAUCAGCCUAAUAUGGUUCUCCUAAUCCUGAGGCCCAAGUUUGUCCAUGAUUGACAACCAACCACAAUGCAGUCGGUCAUUCGAAGCCAGAUCGUCCAACCUAACCCUAUCCAAGCAAAGAAUAACAUCCACACACCAUUCAUUUCUUAAAAUCUAAUGUUGAGUGGUACAAUGGCUACGUUAAGCAAUAUUUUUGCUUAUGUGGCAAGUUGAGCCAUACUUCUUCUAGUUAUUUGAGAGAAGCUCAUCUUUGAUUGUUUGAGACACGUUUUUUCACUUUUUGGAGAGCUUGGUGUUCUACUAGGACUUAUGGGAACCAUCCAUUCAUACUUCUUGUGUCUCGAUCUUCUUCCAUGUUUCAUUUUGUAAGCUUGAGUUCUCCAUGAUAAUGGAGAGCUAAACCCAUUUUUGUUAAGGGUAGAUGUAACCACUAAAUUCUCUCUUAUUUUGCAAAUGCCUUGAAUAUAUUAUGAUAAUAUUCUUGUUUUUG
rnacentral:lncRNA from 1 species